AUUGAACGCUGGCGGAAUGCUUUACACAUGCAAGUCGAACGGCAGCACGGACUUCGGUCUGGUGGCGAGUGGCGAACGGGUGAGUAAUGUAUCGGAACGUGCCCAGUCGUGGGGGAUAACGUAGUGAAAAUUACGCUAAUACCGCAUACGAUCUAUGGAUGAAAGCGGGGGAUCGCAAGACCUCGCGCGAUUGGAGCGGCCGAUAUCAGAUUAGGUAGUUGGUGGGGUAAAGGCCCACCAAGCCAACGAUCUGUCGCUGGUCUGCGAGGACGAGCAGCCACACUCGAACUGAGACAAGGUCCAGACUCAUACGGGAGGCAGCAGUGGGGAAUUUUGGACCAUGGGCGAAAGCCUGAUCCAGCCAUUCCGCGUGCAGGAUGAAGGCCCUCGAGUUGUAAACUGCUUUUGUACAGAACGAAAAGGUUUCUACUAAUACUAGGAGCUCAUGACGGUACUGUAAGAAUAAGCACCGGCUAACUACGUGCCAGCCGCCGCGGUAA
rnacentral:rRNA from 1 species